rnacentral:rRNA from 1 species
CAGUCGCCACGGUAAUACGUAGGGUGCGAGCGUUAAUCGGAAUUACAGGGCGUAAAGCGUGCGCAGGCGGUUGUGUAAGACAGGUGUGAAAUCCCCGGGCUUAACCUGGGAACUGCGCUUGUGACUGCACAGCUAGAGUAUGGCAGAGGGGGGUGGAAUUCCACGUGUAGCAGUGAAAUGCGUAGAGAUGUGGAGGAAUACCGAUGGCGAAGGCAGCCCCCUGGGCCAAUACUGACGCUCAUGCACGAAAGCGUGAGGAGCAAACAGGAUUAGAUACCCGAGUAGUCCCUGUCUCUUAUAC